rnacentral:rRNA from 1 species
GACGUAGGGCGCGAGCGUUGUCCGGAUUUAUUGGGCGUAAAGAGCUCGUAGGCGGCUUGUCGCGUCGAAUGUGAAAAACCCACGGCUCAACUGUGGGCUUGCAUUCGAUACGGGCAGGCUAGAGUUCGGUAGGGGAGACUGGAAUUCCUGGUGUAGCGGUGAAAUGACGCAGAUAUCAGGAGGAACACCGGUGGCGAAGGCGGGUCUCUGGGCCGAUACUGACGCUGAGGUGCGAAAGCGUGGGGAGCGAACAGG